UUGGUGAAGGAUGAAGGUCUUCGGAUCGUAAACUUCUGUCAAUUGGAGACGAAGGUGACAGAGUUAAUAGCUUCUGUCACUGACGGUAUUCAAUAAGGAAGUCUCGGCUAACUCCGUGCCAGCAGCCGCGGUAAGACGGAGGAGGCAAGCGUUGUCCGGAAUUAUUGGGCGUAAAGAGCGCGUAGGUGGUUUUUCAAGUCAUAUGUGAAAACUUCAGGCUCAACCUGAAGAUUGCAUAUGAAACUGGAUAACUUGAGUACAGCAGAGGAAAGUGGAAUUCCUGGUGUAGCGGUGAAAUGCGCGGAUAUCAGGAAGAACACCGGUGGCGAAGGCGGCUUUCUGGGCUGUCACUGACGCUGAGGCGCGAAAGCCAGGGGAGCGAACAGGAUUAGAUACCCUGGUAGUCCUGGCUGUAAACAAUGGACACUAGGUGUGGGAAGUUAUCGACGCUUUCUGUGCCGAAGCUAACGCAUUAAGUGUCCCGCCUGGGGAGUACGGCCGCAAGGCUAAAACUCAAAGGAAUUGACGGGGCCCCGCACAAGCGGCGGAGCAUGUGGCUUAAUUCGACGCAACGCGAAGAACCUUACCAAGGCUUGACAUCAUAUUGAAAGUUGUAGAAAUACAACCUCUCUUCGGAGCAAUAUGACAGGUGGUGCAUGGCUGUCGUCAGCUCGUGUCGUGAGAUGUUGGGUUAAGUCCCGCAACGAGCGCAACCCUUUUUCCAUGUUGCUACCAGUUCGGCUGGGCACUCUUGGAAUACUGCCGGUGUAAAACUGGAGGAAGGUGGGGAUGACGUCAAGUCAUCAUGCCCUUUAUGCCUUGGGCCGCACACGUGCUACAAUGGUCUAUACAAGGAGUUGCGAUACUGCGAAGUGGAGCAAAUCUCUUAAAAUAGAUCUAAGUCCGGAUUGAAGGCUGAAACUCGCCUUCAUGAAGUCGGAGUCGCUAGUAAUCGUGAAUCAGCGUGUCACGGUGAAUACGUUCCCGGGGCUUGUACACACCGCCCGUCACACCAUGAAAGUCGGAAACACCCGAAGCCAGUGUACCAACCAGUAAUGGAGGGAGCUGUCGAAGGUGGAGCCGGUGAUUAGGGUG
rnacentral:rRNA from 1 species